rnacentral:misc_RNA from 1 species
AGCAGCCGCGGUAAUUCCAGCUCCAAUAGCGUAUAUUAAAGUUGUUGCAGUUAAAAAGCUCGUAGUUGAAUUUCGGGAUUGGCGCAUCGGUCGUGCCUCACGGGGUAUGAACUGGUGCAGUCAAUUUCUCACCUUCUGGAGAACCGCGAUGUCCUUAAUUGGAUGCCGCGGGGAACCAGGACCUUUACUUUAGAAAAAUUAGAGUGUUUAAAGCAGGCAUUUUUGCUUGAAUACAUUAGCAUGGGAUAAUAAAAUAGGACGGCAUGGUUCUAUUUUGUUGGUUUCUAGGACCACCGUAAUGAUUAAUAGGGAUAGUUGGGGGCAUUAGUAUUCAAUUGUCAGAGGUGAAAUUCUUGGAUUUAUUGAAGACUAACUACUGCGAAAGCAUUUGCCAAGGAUGUUUUCAUUAAUCAAGAACGAAAGUUAGGGGAUCGAAGACGAUCAGAUACCGUCGUAGUCUUAACCAUAAACUAUGCCGACUAGGAAUCAGACGAUGUUAAUUUUUAAUGUACUCGUUUGG